GACAGAGGCCCCAAGCGUUAGGCGGAAUCACUGGGCUUAAAGCGGGUGUAGGCGGACGCCUAAGUGUCUUGUGAAAUCCCACGGCUCACCCGUGGAACUGCUGGGCAUACUGGGCGUCUUGGGCCAACUAGGGGCAGCCGGAACAAGCGGUGGAGCGGUGAAAUGCGUAGAUAUCGCUUGGAACGCCGAAGGUGAAAACAGGCUGCUGGGGUUGCGCCGACGCUGAGACACGAAAGCCAGGGGAGCAAACGGG
rnacentral:rRNA from 1 species